CUUUUUCUAAUCAGUGAAACUAAUCUUCCCGUGAAGAAGCGGGAAUAUCCCCAUAAGACGAGAAGACCCCAUGGAGCUUCAAACCCAAUUACACCCCUAACCCCUAUAACUACUUAACCCUUAGGAUUCUGUAUUAUUGGUUUUAGGUUGGGGCGACCACGGAGUACAACAAAACCUCCACAAUGAACGGAACUACUUCCUCAUCUGAGAGCUACACCUCUAAGAAUUAAAAUAUUAACAUAAAAUGAUCCAUUUUUGAUCAAUGAACCAAGUUACCCUGGGGAUAACAGCGCAAUCCAUUUCAAGAGCCCCUAUCGACAAAUGGG
rnacentral:rRNA from 1 species